rnacentral:rRNA from 1 species
AGCAGUCGCCGCGGUAAUACGGAGGGAGCUAGCGUUGUUCGGAAUUACUGGGCGUAAAGCGCGCGUAGGCGGUUACUCAAGUCAGAGGUGAAAGCCCGGGGCUCAACCCCGGAACUGCCUUUGAAACUAGGUGACUAGAAUCUUGGAGAGGUCAGUGGAAUUCCGAGUGUAGAGGUGAAAUUCGUAGAUAUUCGGAAGAACACCAGUGGCGAAGGCGACUGACUGGACAAGUAUUGACGCUGAGGUGCGAAAGCGUGGGGAGCAAACAGGAUUAGAUACCCCUGUAGUCCCUGUCUCUUAUAC